rnacentral:rRNA from 1 species
UACGUAGGGGGCAAGCGUUGUCCGGAUUUAUUGGGCGUAAAGAGCGUGUAGGCGGCCUGACAGGUCUGCUGUGAAAACUCGAGGCUCAACCUCGAGAUGUCGGCGGAAACCGUCUGGCUAGAGUCCGGAAGAGGCGAGUGGAACUCCUGGUGUAGCGGUGGAAUGCGCAGAUAUCAGGAAGAACACCAACGGCGAAGGCAGCUCGCUGGGACGGUACUGACGCUGAGACGCGAAAGCGUGGGGAGCGAACAGG